rnacentral:lncRNA from 1 species
UUAUAAGUCUCAAGAUUAAGUACUAGUUCAGUAGCCAAUGACAUAUAUGACUGUAUGAGUAAGACGAUAAUGCAAUUUAGAUUCAUGUAUAGUCAACCAAUUUUUCUUCCUCGUACACCUCACCCGCCCCAGGUUUCACUUAUGGAGUAAAACUAGGUCAAUGGCGGACCCAGAAUUUUGUGCAAGCGGGUUCAAUCUUAGAAGUACAUAACAUUAGUCGUACAAUAGUAGUUAGCAAGUCGAUUAAGUUGAACCCGCUUGCCACCACGUACGUCCGCCACUGCACUAGGUAUGUUAUAGUCGUACUUGUCCAACUUUUAAUACUGCAGUCAUAAACUCAGUUGUAUAAUGGAAAACUAACUCAACUAUAUACAAUAAAAUACUAAAUAUUAAAUCGGGCUGCAAAGAGAGAGGUACCAUAUUGGAAUAGGAAUUCGGAACAAUGGCCAAGGGAACAUCCAAUAUUACAGACGCGGUUUGUAGCUUCAACUGAAGUAGAAUGAGACUCGUCUAAGGUGUCAUUGCUUGAAAUAAAGCAACCAGCAAGGCACCUAGCUAAGCAUACAGGCCUUGUUCUACACUUAAUUCCGCAUAAUGCUACGCAUACGGGAUCACGUUAUUGAGCCAUGGAAUGCUCCGUUGACAUGAGAAGCAUUGCAACAAACAACACAGCAAAACCUUUCACAGCCAUUGAUUUUUCUUAAGAGUAUAGUAAGUGAUUUAUCUUAGCUUCUUGAUGUAGAAGUAAGGUUCUCGUAUUGAAC